GACGAACGCUGGCGGCGUGCUUAACACAUGCAAGUCGAACGGAAAGGCCCUGCUUUUGUGGGGUGCUCGAGUGGCGAACGGGUGAGUAACACGUGAGUAACCUGCCCUUGACUUUGGGAUAACUUCAGGAAACUGGGGCUAAUACCGGAUAGGAGCUCCUGCUGCAUGGUGGGGGUUGGAAAGUUUCGGCGGUUGGGGAUGGACUCGCGGCUUAUCAGCUUGCUGGUGGGGUAGUGGCUUACCAAGGCUUUGACGGGUAGCCGGCCUGAGAGGGUGACCGGCCACAUUGGGACUGGGAUACGGCCCAGACUCCUACGGGAGGCAGCAGUGGGGAAUAUUGCACAAUGGGCGGAAGCCUGAUGCAGCAACGCCGCGUGCGGGAUGACGGCCUUCGGGUUGUAAACCGCUUUCGCCUGUGACGAAGCGUGGGUGACGGUAAUGGGUAAAGAAGCACCGGCUAACUACGUG
rnacentral:rRNA from 1 species